AUACGGAGGGUGCAAGCGUUACUCGGAAUCACUGGGCGUAAAGGACGCGUAGGCGGAAUGGUAAGUUGGAUGUGAAAUCCUACAGCUCAACUGUAGAACUGCAUCCAAAACUACCAAUCUAGAGUUCGGGAGAGGCAAAGGGAAUUUCUGGUGUAGGGGUAAAAUCCGUAGAGAUCAGAAGGAAUACCGAAAGCGAAGGCGCUUUGCUGGAACGAUACUGACGCUGAGGCGUGAAAGCGUGGGGAGCAAACAGGAUUAGAUACCCCAGUAGUCC
rnacentral:rRNA from 1 species